rfam:Schistocephalus solidus strain NST_G2 genome assembly, scaffold: SSLN_contig0032084
GAGCCCGUGGCUCAAUUGCAGAGCGUUCGACUCAAAAACCAAAGAUCUUUGGUUCGAAUCCCAUGUGUUCC